rnacentral:sRNA from 1 species
CCGUUUUCUCCUUCCUCCCCCAGCCUGUCUUGUCCCAUCCCUGCCCCUCCACAGAGUGCUAGAGAUGACCCCCUCCCCAGACUUCUCCCUCCCUCAAUUAGAAAAAUUGCAGCAGGUCAUCAGACCCAUGGGCAGCCUCACCUGUCCUGGUCUGGUCCCCUGAGCCCUCUCUGAGUUCUCACCUCCUCUUCCCAGACCAGGGCAGCCCCUUUGCCCAGGAGCUGCUGGAUGAUGGUCAGCAAGCCAGCCCCUACCACCCCGGCAGCUGUGGCGCAGGAGCCCCCUCCCCUGGCAGCUCUGACGUCUCCACCGCAGGGACUGGUGCUUCUCAGAGCUCCCACUCCUCAGACUCCGGUGGAAGUGACGUGGACCUGGAUCCCACUGAUGGCAAGCUCUUCCCCAGCGAUGGUUUUCGUGACUGCAAGAAGGGGGAUCCCAAGCACGGGAAGCGGAAACGAGGCCGGCCCCGAAAGCUGAGCAAAGAGUACUGGGACUGUCUC